rnacentral:misc_RNA from 1 species
GAAGUGUUGUAAGCAGCUUGAAGAUUUGAACUUGCGUUUUUGCGAAGGUGUGACUGACACAGGCUUGGUUGAAUUAGCUCAAGGCUGCGGGAAAUCACUAAAGUCUCUUGGUGUUGCAGCUUGUGCAAAAAUAACUCACAUAUCAUUGGAAGCAGUGAGCUCCUAUUGCAAAUCACUUGAAACUUUGUCACUGGAUUCAGAAUGCAUGCAUAAUGGUGGUAUUCUUUCUGUGGCCCAAGGAUGCCCUUCUUUAAAAGUCUUGAGACUACAAUGUAUUAAUGUUACUGAUGACGCUUUGAUAGCUGUGGGAACUCAUUGUUUGUCAUUGGAGUUGUUGGCUUUAAACAGUUUCCAGCGAUUUACUGACAAGGGUUUGCGUGCCAUUGGGAAUGGGUGCAAGAAGUUGAAAAAUCUUUCUCUAAGUGAUUGCUAUUUCCUGAGUGACAAGGGCUUAGAAGCAAUUGCCACUGGUUGUAGAGAACUGACACAUCUUGAAGUUAAUGGUUGCCACAAUAUUGGAACGAUUGGUCUGGAAGCCAUUGGAAGAUCUUGCCUACGCCUCACUGAGUUGGCUUUGCUAUACUGCCAAAGGAUUGGCAAUCAUGCUCUUCUCGAAAUUGGAAAGGGCUGUAAGUUUUUGCAGGCUCUUCAUCUUGUGGACUGCUCUAGUAUUGGUGAUGAUGCCAUUUGCAGUAUUGCUAGAGGCUGUAGGAAUUUGAAGAAACUUCAUAUUCGCCGAUGUUACGAGAUUGGAAACAAAGGAAUAAUAGCCAUUGGUGAGAAUUGCAAGUCUCUCACGGAUCUUAGCCUUAGGUUUUGUGAUAGGGUGGGGGAUGAGGCCCUUAUUUCCAUCGGUCAAGGUUGCUCCUUACAACAUUUGAAUGUUAGUGGUUGCCACCUAAUUGGUGAUGCAGGAAUAAUAGCUAUUGCAAGAGGGUGCCCUGUACUCAGCUAUCUAGAUGUAAGCGUACUUCAGAAUUUGGGAGACAUGGCAAUGGCCGAAUUAGGAGAAGGCUGUCCAUUGCUGAAGGAGAUUGUGCUGUCUCACUGCCGACAAAUAACUGAUGUCGGUCUAGCACACCUUGUUAAAAAUUGCACAAUGCUCGAGUCCUGCCAUGUGGUUUAUUGUCCAGGUAUAACUGCAGCUGGAGUUGCCACUGUGGUGUCUAGUUGUGCAAACAUAAAGAAGGUCCUGGUUGAGAAAUGGAAGGUUAGCGAGAGGACCAAACGAAGAGCAGGUUCUGUUAUUUCCUACCUAUGUGUGGACCUUUAGAUUCUACAUCUAUUUAAGGGCACCGGUCGCUGUUGGAUUUCAGUAAAAUUUGGGGUUAGGCCUUAGGAUUUUAAAUGUUUAAGCAAGCACUUGUUCAUGAACCUGGUUAUAUGAAUUUGUUUUAUUCGGGUUCUAUUUAUUUAUUUAUUUGGUACAAAUGGC